CACAGCAUGCUCUCUGGCUUCUGAGGCAGCCGUGAGAAUGCGGACAGUUUGGUGCAUGGUCUUGUACUUCUUUGGAGCAAGAGCUGAGAUAACCCAACCCUCAAGUCUGGUGCUGAAAGAAGAUGAGAAUGCUACUCUGAAAUGCAGUCAAAAUGAUAAUCAUGAUUAUAUGUCCUGGUAUCUACAGCAGCCAGGGAAGGGCCUGCAAUUAAUGUAUUAUUCAUAUGGAGAAAAUCAGGAUUAUAAGGGUGAUGUUCACACUGGUUACGAGGCUAAGAGGUUAGGCAAAGAGGACUUUCAUUUAGAUAUCGUGUCUGUAAAGAAGAACCAUUCAGCUGUCUAUUUCUGUGCCUCCAGUUUGGACACAACACUUCAAAGUCACUUCCUUUCUGUAUAUAAACUGCUCCUCUCCAGUACCCUCCCCCAGAAGGGAGUAGCUCUCAGCACAGGAUACUGGAAUGUAGGCCAGCUGGAUCUUCAUAGGGCAAAGGUUGCUGAGGAGCUGGACCAAGAGAGGUCAAGCAGGUUAAAUUUAAUUGCUGAAUUCCUCUUUUCUGAUCAGCUCUUUAUCCUCUGUCACUUUAUAACAAUCCUGACACUUUGUUAAUCAAUCCAGUUAU